CCUACGGGUGGCAGCAGUGGGGGAUAUUGCACAAUGGGGGGAAGCCUGAUGCAGCGACGCCGCGUGAGGGAAGAAGGAACUCGUUAUGGAAAGCUCUAUCAGCAGGGAAGAAUAAAUGACGGUACCUGAGUAAGAAGCCCCGGCUAACUACGUGCCAGCAGCCGCGGUAAUACGUAGGGGGCAAGCGUUAUCCGGAUUUAAUGGGUGUAAAGGGGGCGUAGACGGCGAUGCAAGCCAGAGGUGAAAGCCCGCGGCUCAACUGCGGUAGUGCCUUUGGAACUGGAUGGCUGGAGUGCAGGGGAGGCAGGCGGAAUGCCUAGUGUAGCGGUGAAAUGCGUAGAUAUUAGGAAGAACACCAGUGGCGAAGGCGGCCUGCUGGACUGUAACUGACGUUGAGGCUCGAAAGCGUGGGGAGCAAACAGGAUUAGAUACCCUAGUAGUC
rnacentral:rRNA from 1 species